ACCGCCCCUAAGAACAGGUGUCUCUGUUCUCGUGUCCUAAGUCCACCUUCAGGACCCCCCCUUAAGUCCCGUAUCCCCUCACUGAUCCUAGGCCCUUGGAAUCCUAUAGGGCCAUCAGCCAAAAUCCUUUACCAACCAUCCUCUUCUGAGUCCUUUUUCUCUCCCUCCUCUCCCUAGGAUCCACCCUGAUCCCAUCCUUUUAUCCUCCGGUACAAUAGGAUUACUCAAGUCGUCACAUCCUAUUCCGCCUUAUAGAGACAGAAGGAUACUAAGAAAAUUCAUACAUAUCCUGUGGUGUUGAAAAAGGAAGCUGCUCAUCCUCGUCUCCCAGUUCGAGGAGCGGAGUGGUCCCAUGUUGGUGUCGAACCUUUGUCCUCGUCUUUACCUUGCUAGCCCCGGAGCCAUCUGCGUGUCUGUGUGUGUGUUAUAACUUGCUUUGUGAUCCACACCGUCACCAUAGUUGGCAAUUUGUAGAUAUUUUCAGUGUAGUAUUGAUCAGCAGGACUUAAAUAAGGUUCCUGUGCAUUUAUACCAAGAUUCACGUUGAGAAAAUUCCUGUGCAUUUAUACCAAGAUUCACGUUGAGAAAAUUCCUGUGCAUUUAUACCAAGAUUCACGUUGAGAAAAUUCCUGUGCAUUUAUCAACAUACCCUUUCUACAUUAAUUCUGUAACGCAAUUUGUGCUCUGUGUUUACUGUUUGUGUUACAUAUAGAAAGAGAAACACGUAAAUCCCUUCUGUUGGGUCCAAGAGGAAAAACAAAAUCGUAAGUUCUAAUUCUGUCACAAAGUGGUCCUGAAAAGUUGGACUCUUGAACGGAUAGAAAACUUAGAAUCUUCAUCAUCAAUAACAAUAACAACAGCAAUAACAAUAACAGCGUGAGAAGAAAGUGAUUGAGGAUUUACAUGACAAUACUUGGAGGACGACAGUACUUUUGGAGAACGGCAGGUACUUUUGGAGAACGACAGGCGAUUUUGGAGACAACACGACACUUCAAAAGACUAUAACUGCUGAUGCUUAAGUUAAGAGGAGGAUAAGUUAUGUCGUGUUCGAGUAUAACUUCUAACUAUUAAUGUAAGAAACGACAUCAACCACCACCACCACUUUAUUCGACACAACAAGGAAAAAUAUCGUUAAAAUUCGUUCAAAAUAUGUAUGUGAUUUUAAAAACGAGUGAGUAAUUGAACUUAACCUAACCCGGAAAAGAACCCAAAUUGUUUUUUAAGAACCUUGUGUGACCCCUCAAAAGAAACCCAAUUGUCUUUAAAGAACCUAGUGUGCUUUAAAAGAACCCAGUGUAUCUGCUUGAAAGAACCACCACUCCCCC